rnacentral:rRNA from 1 species
ACUCCUACGGGAGGCAGCAGUGGGAAUAUUGCACAAUGGGCGCAAGCCUGAUGCAGCCAUGCCGCGUGUGUGAAGAAGGCCUUCGGGUUGUAAAGCACUUUCAGUAGGGAGGAAGGUAGUGUAGUUAACACCUGCAUUAUUUGACGUUACCUACAGAAGAAGCACCGGCUAACUCCGUGCCAGCAGCCGCGGUAAUACGGAGGGUGCAAGCGUUAAUCGGAAUUACUGGGCGUAAAGCGUGCGCAGGCGGUCUGUUAAGCCAGAUGUGAAAGCCCCGGGCUCAAGCCUGGGAACUGGCAUUUGGAACUGGCAGGCUAGAGUUUUGUAGAGGGUUGGUAGAAUUUCGAGGUG